UAGGGAAUCUUCCACAAUGGACGCAAGUCUGAUGGAGCAACGCCGCGUGAGUGAAGAAGGCUUUCGGGUCGUAAAACUCUGUUAUUGAAGAAGAACGUGUGUGACAGUAACUGGCCAUGCAGUGACGGUAUUCAAUCAGAAAGUCACGGCUAACUACGUGCCAGCAGCCGCGGUAAUACGUAGGUGGCAAGCGUUGUCCGGAUUUAUUGGGCGUAAAGCGAGUGCAGGCGGUCUUUUAAGUCUGAUGUGAAAGCCUUCGGCUUAACCGAAGAAGGGCAUCG
rnacentral:rRNA from 1 species